GAUGAACGCUGGCGGCGUGCUUAACACAUGCAAGUCGAACGAAGCACUUUUAUUUGAUUUCUUCGGAAUGAAGAUUUUAGUGACUGAGUGGCGGACGGGUGAGUAACGCGUGGGUAACCUGCCUCAUACAGGGGGAUAACAGUUGGAAAUGACUGCUAAUACCGCAUAAGACCACAGUACCGCAUGGUGCAGGGGUAAAAACUCCGGUGGUAUGAGAUGGACCCGCGUCUGAUUAGGUAGUUGGUGGGGUAACGGCCUACCAAGCCGACGAUCAGUAGCCGACCUGAGAGGGUGACCGGCCACAUUGGGACUGAGACACGGCCCAA
rnacentral:rRNA from 1 species